rnacentral:rRNA from 1 species
UACGUAGGGUGCAAGCGUUGUCCGGAAUUAUUGGGCGUAAAGAGCUCGUAGGCGGCUUGUCGCGUCGGCUGUGAAAACCUGGGGCUCAACCCCGGGCCUGCAGCCGAUACGGGCAAGCUAGAAUUCGGUAGGGGAGACUGGAAUUCCUGGUGUAGCAGUGAAAUGCGUAGAUAUCAGGAGGAAUACCGAUGGCGAAGGCAGGUCUCUGGGCUGACACUGACGCUCAUGCACGAAAGCGUGGGGAGCAAACAGG